rnacentral:lncRNA from 1 species
AAAGCAUAUUAACAAAUAAAAUGCUCUCUCUGGUGUUCUCUAGACCAAAAUAGGAAUCUUUUGGAUUCAUUCUGAUCGCAAUAAAUCAAUAAAGUCAAAGUUAAUGUAAGAAACCAGAUUUUAUACCUUUUUUAAUUAUUAUUCAGCAAUUUAGCGACAUCCCAAGCAGGGAAAAUGUGAGAAGGCUUACGCAAGUGGUCUAAAUCCUCUUAUCUGCACUGCAAGCAUAUCGUUCAUCAUGCUCAUUCUUCUCACACUCUUACCUCUGGCUAGCCUUUGUUUCCAGAAUAGGGUCCAUUCCUUCUGAGCUUUCCCCCUAUUAGCACACGGAUGCCAAACCUUGCUUAAUGCGUUACAUCGUAUGAAUGUGAUGUGUUCUUGCAGAGGGAAGAUUUUUCAUUGCUGUGGGCCUUAUUGUAAGCCUGAUUGCCACAGGAUCUCUGGAAAUAGGUGUUCUCUACAGGCCCAGCUCUCCAGAUCUAAGUCUCUACAAGCCUCACUGGAGUCCAUCAUCUGCGGCAUCUGCAUGAAGGACGGGCCCUCAGCCCACUGCACUGCAGUUUAUAAUGAGACUGGAGAUCUGCUGUGUUCACCUUUUGAAUGUGAAGAAUGACCUGCUGACUGACCUCAAACAGGCGAGUGAAGCUCACUUAAACAUCACUGUUCACAUUCUGAAAUAAUGAAUAGAUAAUUUACACAUUUAAAACUUGAGACGAAGGAUUAUUUGAAUGUUUCCAUGAAGGAUCGUUGAGGAAACUUUAAAUCAAAGAAGAAUCUUUACAUUCGUUAUUGAAACAAGUGUGUUUCUUCUGUGGUAUCAAGCAU